CUGAGAAUAAUACUCCAUAGACCACUAUGCCUGGAAUGGUUUGUGGUUCAAAGCUCCGGCGGCACAGGAUGGGUCUGCGGCGUAUCAGGUUGUAGGGGGUGUAAAGGACCCUCUAGCCAUUGACGCGUACGGGUUGUGGGAGCAAUCGCCCGGAGAUGGAUUCUGAGACACGAAUCCAGACCCUACGGGGUGCAGCAGGCGCGGAAACUUCACACUGCGGGAAACCGUGAUGAGGGAACUCCAAGUGUUUGCACUAUGUGCAAUCUUUUCUUGACUUUUAAUAGGUCUUGGUAAUAAGGGGUGGGAAAGACCGGUGCCAGCCGCCGCGGUAAUACCGGCACCCCAAGUGGUCGUCGCUUUUAUUGGGCCUAAAACGUCCGUAGCCUGUUUGGUAAACCCGUGGGUAAAUCAACAUGCUCAACAUGUUGACUUCUGCGGAGACUGCCAGACUAGGGACCGGGAGAGGUGUGGGGUACUCAUGGGGUAGGGGUAAAAUCCUGUCAUCCCAUGAGGACCACCUGUUGCGAAGGCGCCACACUGGAACGGAUCCGACGGUCAGGGACG
rnacentral:rRNA from 1 species